UACGAGGACGACGCUGGCGGCGUGCUUCAUACAUGCAAGUCGAACGAGAAUCUGGCUUCGGUCAGAGGAAAGUGGCGGACGGGUGAGUAAUGUGUAGAGAAUCUGCCCUUUAGUGGGGGACAACAGUUGGAAACGACUGCUAAUACCCCAUAUGCGCGUAGCUGAGAUGCUAUUCGUGAAAACUCCGGUGCUAAAGGAUGAGUCUGCAUCUGAUUAGCUAGUUGGCGGUGUAAUGGACCACCAAGGCGACGAUCAGUAGCUGGUUUGAGAGGAUGAUCAGCCACAAUGGGACUGAGACACGGCCCAUACUCCUACGGGAGGCAGCAGUAGGGAAUUUUGCGCAAUGGGGGAAACCCUGACGCCAGCAACGCCGCGUGAUUGAAUAAGCCCUUCGGGGUGUAAAGAUCUGUCAGUAGGGACGAAACUUGACGGUACCUACAGAGGAAGCAUCGGCUAACUCCGUGCCAGCCGCCGC
rnacentral:rRNA from 1 species